rnacentral:tRNA from 1 species
GAGAAAGAUUUUAGACAAUAGUAAGCACUGCUAAUCCUUACAACCUACGGUUAAAAUCCGUAGCUUCCUCGC